AGCAGCCGCGGUAAUUCCAGCUCCAAUAGCGUAUAUUAAAGUUGUUGCAGUUAAAAAGCUCGUAGUUGAAUUUCGGGAUCAUCAGGUUGGUCGUGCCACUGGUAUGUACUAGCUUUGGUGGUUCCUCCCUCUUGAAGAACCGUAAUGUCAUUAACUUGGUGUUGCGGGGAAUCAGGACUGUUACUUUGAAAAAAUUAGAGUGUUUAAAGCAGGCAAACGCUUGAAUACAUUAGCAUGGAAUAAUGAAAUAGGACGUUUGAUCUUAUUUUGUUGGUUUCUAGGAUCGACGUAAUGAUUAAUAGGGAUAGUUGGGGGCAUUAGUAUUCAAUUGUCAGAGGUGAAAUUCUUGGAUUUAUUGAAGACUAACUACUGCGAAAGCAUUUGCCAAGGAUGUUUUCAUUAAUCAAGAACGAAAGUUAGGGGAUCGAAGACGAUCAGAUACCGUCGUAGUCUUAACCAUAAACUAUGCCGACUAGGGAUCGGAUGAUGUUAAUUUUUUAAUGACUCAUUCGGCGCCUUACG
rnacentral:rRNA from 1 species